UACGUAGGGGGCAAGCGUUGGUCCGGAUUUAUUGGGCGUUAAAGGGCGCGGUAGGCGGCCACGCACGUCCGUUGUGAAAUCGCCCGGCUCAACUGGGCGGGGUCAGCGGAUACGGUGUGGCUAGAGCAAGCUAGGGGGCAAUGGAAUUCCCGGUGUAGUGGUGGAAUGCGUAGAUAUCGGGAGGAACACCAGUGGCGAAGGCGGUUGCCUGGAGCUUUGCUGACGCUGAUGCGCGAAAGCGUGGGGAGCGAUCCGG
rnacentral:rRNA from 1 species